AUUGAACGCUGGCGGCAGGCCUAACACAUGCAAGUCGAGCGAGCGGCGGACGGGUGAGUAAUGUCUGGGAAACUGCCUGAUGGAGGGGGAUAACUACUGGAAACGGUAGCUAAUACCGCAUACCAUCAGAUGUGCCCAGAUGGGAUUAGCUAGUUGGUGGGGUAACGGCUCACCUAGGCGACGAUCCCUAGCUGGUCUGAGCGGAUGACCAGCCAAACUGGAACUGAGACACGGUCCAGACUCCUACGGGAGGAAGCAGGGGGGCAUAUUGGACAAUGGGCGAAAGCCUGAUGCAGCCAUGCAGCGUGGGUGAAGAAGGCCUGCGGGUUGUAAAGAACUUUCAGUGGGGAGGCGGUACCCGCAGAAGAAGCACCGGCUAACUCCGUGCCAGCAGCCGCGGUAAUAC
rnacentral:rRNA from 1 species